UCAGGCCUAACACAUGCAAGUCGAACGGGAUCUUCGGAUCUAGUGGCGGACGGGUGAGUAACGCGUGGGAACGUGCCCUUUGGUUCGGAAUAGCCCCUGGAAACGGGGAGUAAUACCGGAUGAGCCCUACGGGGGAAAGAUUUAUCGCCGAAGGAUCGGCCCGCGUUGGAUUAGGUAGUUGGUGGGGUAAUGGCCUACCAAGCCGACGAUCCAUAGCUGGUUUGAGAGGAUGAUCAGCCACACUGGGACUGAGACACGGCCCAGACUCCUACGGGAGGCAGCAGUGGGGAA
rnacentral:rRNA from 1 species